AUUGAACGCUGGCGGCAGGCCUCACACAUGCAAGUCGAGCGAGCGGCGGACGGGUGAGUAAUGUAUGGGAAUCUGCCCGAUGGAGGGGGAUAACUACUGGCAACGGUAGAUAAUACCGCAUACCAUCAGAUGUGCCCAGAUGGGAUUAGCGAGUAGUGGGGGUAACGUGUCACCUAGGCGACGCUCUCUAGCUGGUCUGAGAGGAUGACCAGCCACAAUGGUACGUAGACACGGGCCCGGAUCCUAUGGUAGGCAGCAGUGGGGAAUAUUGCACAAUGGGCGCAAGCCUGAUGCAGCCAUGACGCGUGUAUGAAGAAGGCCUUAGGGUUGUAAAGUACGUUCAGCUGGGAGGCGUUACCCGCAGAAGAAGCACCGGCUAACUCCGUGCCAGCAGCCGCGGUAAUAC
rnacentral:rRNA from 1 species